GCAGCGCGCGGCUCGUCUAAAAAAAAGGUAGCGCUGGCGGCGGGCCGGCGGCGCUCGCCGGCCAGCGAGCACGGCUGCGUCUGCGGGAGGGAGGCGCGGCGUAGGUAGAUGCUCACCGGUGGUGGAUCGAGUGGGAGGGGGAGGGCAUAUCCGGUCGGAGGAGGUGGGGCCAUGGGGACGUUGCGGCGCAUGUAUUGGAGAACGGCGGCCGGAGCCGGGGAAGGAGACCGGGGCGGCGAAAGAGGAGCUCCGGGAUGCGGCGCUUCGGCGACGGAGAAGGAGUUGGCGCGUCUCCGUCGGUGGUCGGCGUCGCGGCUUCUCCUGCGGCAGCGGACCUCCGGUGAGGAAGUAUUUAACGUGCUAUAAUUAUCCGUGCAUUUAGGGGUUAACUUAAGCUGUAAGCCUGUAACUGAUGAUGCAUAAGCGUGAUUUGGGACCCUAGUAUUUUAGGGCCCUGGCCCAUCGCUCAUCUCGCACACCGAUAUCCUGUUUUUUUUUUUUAGGGGAACCGCUAUCCUGGGUUGGGAAGACCCAAGCCUGACCAAACAAGAUCCAAGUGAAACUGCUGCCAAAAAAAAAGAUCCAAGUGUAACUUUUAGGGCACCUCCGAUGUAGAAAUAAGCUUGGAGAGGGCUGUGAUCUAAUCACCAAACUUUUUGGUAAAGUUUUGUGCAUACAUUUUAACAACAGAUUGUGAAAUAAGUUUUAUACUCCUACAUAACAUAGUUUACCAACCUCAAAUAUAGACGCGCUGCUUGUCUAGCCUAGACAAUGAGAUUUAGAGAGGAGCAGCGUGAUGCAUCUCACGUGGCUUUGGCCCCGGAUCGCACUCCGGCACCAGCUUCCUUAAUCUAAUCUUAACUAAGCUUGGAAGUGCCACAGACAUCUAAUCUACAAGUGUAACCUAGUAGUAUAUUGGGGUCUGCCAGCUUAAUUAGCACCAAGUUUUGGUUGCAUCCAUCCACCUUAGAAACCACGAAGGUUCCUUCUUAAGAGGAGAUCUGGACUGGACUACUUGGCAUGCCCGGUUUUUAGUACUUAGUAGUGCCAUCAACCUCCGGUCUUUCUGCCGUUAGCCGGCCAGCCGCUGCAUCCUCAUCCGGGCGACCAGAUGGACUGAUUUUAGACCUACGGUCUCCGCAACAUCACUCUGUCUAGCCGGCAGUGCAGAGUGCAAAAAGUGCAGGCACAGGAGCAAAUUAAAUAUGGCAGCAGGUGGGCCGCUGGAGUUGUGGAACCACCGGUCGAUGCAGAUCCUGGUUCUCCUCAGCCUCGGCCUCCAGGCCGUCCUCUUCGUCUUCGCUGGGAUCCGCCGGCGCGAAGCCUCCCCCAUGCGGAGACUCCUCCUCUGGCUAGCAUACCUCAUGGCGGACUCAACUGCCAUAUAUGCCGUGGGCCACCUCUCGUUCAGCAGCACCGUGCGCGAGCACCAGCUUGUCGCCUUCUGGGCGCCGUUCCUCCUGCUGCACCUGGGCGGCCCGGACAACAUCACCGCCUACGCGCUCCAGGACAACCAGCUCUGGCUCCGCCAUCUCCAAACCCUCGUCGUGCAGGUCCUCGGAGCAGCCUAUGUCCUCAACAAGAACAUCGCCGGUCAGGAUGCUGCAGGGAGCUUGCUCUGGCUGGCCUCCCUGCUGAUGUUUGCUGUCGGCGUCAUCAAGUACGGGGAGAGGACUUGGGCGCUCAAGUGCGGCACCCUGGAGAGCAUCGGCGGCUCCGUCAAGAAGCAACCACCCGCCAUGCAUAAACAUUUCCACCCCCAGGACGAAGCGUCUGAGGAGGAAUUCCUCGUGCGACGGGCUCACUCCCUGUUCCACAUCUGCAAGCGUGCCAUCGUUGAUUCUUCGGUGAUUGAGAAGGAUUCCGUGGAAGGGCAGGAAGAGUACACCAGCAAGAUGAUGCAGAGAGUGGAGCUGUGGGCGCUGAUGGAGAUCGAGCUUUCGCUCAUGUACGAUGUCCUGUACACCAAGGCGGCCGUGGUCCACACCUUGUCCGGCUACAUUGUCCGCGUGGUCUCGCCAGUCACCACUGCCGCCUCGCUGUUGUUGUUCUGGUCCACCGUCAAGGACGGCCACAGCAGUGCUGACGUGGCCAUCACCUACAUCUUGCUGGGUGGUGCCUUGUUCAUGGAGACGACGUCGCUCGUGAACGCGCUCGGGUCGUCUUGGACGUUCGCGUUCCUGAGCACCACCAGGUGGCGCUGGCUUCGGUACGCAGCCCUGUGCAACGGCAGAUGGGACAGGCUUCGGCGUGCAGUUGUACAUCUUCACCAUCUUGUCAAGGGAGGUGCAGCUGGCCGUGGUUGGUACAAUUCAAGGAGGUGGUCACGCACAAUGGGUCAGUACAACAUGUUGCACUUGUGCACCCGCCCCGCCGACACGCCGCUCACCAGCCCUCUGCUAGGGAGGCUCGCCAAGGCGGUGGGACCCAACGGGUGGUGGAACAGGAAGCAUUACUCCGGUUCAACCAAGCUGCCGGACUCGAUCAGGCGGUGCAUAUCUCUGCACAUGAGGCAGCUGUACACCAAGGGGAGGCUCAACUCGCUGGGCAUGCUGAGGAAGAAGUGGGGCGAGGAGCCACUGGACCGUCGUGGGCUGUACAAAGAAGGGACGAUGCUCAGGGACUCCCUCGGCGUCGAGUUCCAGGAGGGCAUCAUCAUCUGGCACAUCGGCACCGACAUCUUCCUGGCCAAGAGCGACAGAGCCAAGGCCCAGGACGCGGCGCCUCGCGUGGAGGCCAUCAGGGUGCUGUCAAACUACCUGAUGUUCCUCCUGGUGGAGCGGCCCUACAUGCUGCCAGGCCAGCCCCAGAACCGGCUCUACCAACGAACUUGCGACAAUCUGGUCAGCAUGAGAAAUAAAUCUGGACGUAAAGCUGGUACGAUCAAGAACCUGUUCCGCCUGCGCGAUGGCCCGGGUUCCAGUUCCAGGGCGGCCGAGAGAGAGGAGCUCGCCAACGACGUGUACGAGGAGUACGAGAGCCGAAGGUUCAGCCACGACGCUCCUCGUCUCACCUACGUGGUUCGGCUUGCCAAGCAGCUGCUGGAGAAGGAGAGGGACGGUACGGUCGACUCCUUGGAGCUUGUCCUCGACGUGUGGACGGACAUUCUCGUCUAUGCAGGCAACAAGUGCAGCAGGGAGUCGCAUGCCAAGAAGCUCAACAGUGGCGGUGAGCUGACCACCAUCCUGUGGCUCAUGGCAGAACACCUGUACCAAGUUUCUCUGGAGGAGGCAUCAACCGCGCACAGAGACGAUGAUGGUGAUGAUAACUCUAACGUACCAUAACCAUGACUCACAAUGCUAAGAAAGCUUGCCCAGCUGAUGUUCCCCUUCCAGAUUGGGUUUUCAAGUCAAAGCAAAUUGGCAAAUGGUGACAAGUCAACAUGAAGAAGAAAUUGGAUCUCACUGACACCAUACAAGAUGGAGCACACCGUUGUUCCUGAUUGAUUAUGGGAUCAGGAGACAUCUUAUAAUGGCUUUCACCAAGGACUCUCCAAGUUGCAUGUAGAAGAGCCUACUGCAGCUCGUUUCUCCCCCGCAGCUUGUUGAUAUAUACAGACUGGUGGAAGAUCGGUUCGGUAUAUAUACCUUCAGGUUCUCCAAGCAAUGUGGAGGAUCGUCUGGCCUAAGUUAUUGCAUGCCAAAGCGCAGCCGGGACGCUUCUUAGCCAAGAGCUCGACGAUCGUAAGGCUUCCAUUGGCAGCAGCAACAUGUAUGGGCAGUGAUCCCUCUUUGUCGGC